CCUUUACUUUCCUCAGCCAAAUCACUAUUUCUUGAAACCCUAGAAUUUCUUUAAAGACCAUCGUCGUUGUAAAUCCUUCUCUGUUCGACAAAAAGAAGAUCUCAAUGGAGUAUUUCAAUCUUUUACCGGAAGAGAUUACGUUGGACAUUAUCAGUCGAUUACCCACUGAAGAUGUUCUGGAAUGCAAAUUAGUUUGCUCGAAUUGGAGAAGUCUUGUUCGCGAUCCAUCAUUCUCCAAGAUGCAUUUAGAUCAUCUUCAUCAUCCUGCGGCUGAUUCUGGUAAGAUGUGUUUCAUUGCUUUGACUUCUGUUAUUGAGAGGAAUAAAUACAAUCUUGAGCAUGUUAAAUCAAAGAAUUUUCAGUAUUUUGAAUAUGAUGAGAAUCAAGAAUCAAUUGAGAGAAUUAGAAGGUUGAAUUUCAAUCCUCCAUAUGGGUUGAAUACUUGCUUUCUUGGGUCAUGUAAUGGUUUGAUCUGUCUUUCUCAGAACAGCCCUGAAUACUUAUACCCCUUACCAGGGAAAACAUGUAUUUGUAAUCCCAUCACCAGAGAGUAUGUUUUGCUUCCAGAAAUUGACAAAGUUGGAAAGCAUCGUGAGAUUAGUGGAUUUGGUUAUGUUGCUUCAACCAAUGUGUACAAAGUUGUAAGAAUGAUGUUUGAGGACGAGACCGAGUUUAUGGAAGCUCACAUAUACACUCUAGGGAGUAGAAAUGGAUGGAGAAACAUUGGAAAGUUUGAUUUGGGAGCCGAUGGAUGUUAUCAAGAAGGUAUCUUUGUCAAUGGUGUUCUUUAUUGGCUGGACUAUGAUUCAGAAAUGAUGGUUACCUUCGAUUUGGCUGAGGAGGAGUUUUGUGAACAUCUGGCACUUCCUUCCCCACCAGAGUAUGAUUACCAUGAUUAUUAUCUAGGGGUUUUGGAUGGGUGUUUGUCUUUUGCUAUUAAGGUAAUUUCCGAUGGAGCUACAUGUUGGGACGUGUGGCUAUUGAGAAACAAGGAUGAUAAUCAAGGCGUCAAACAGCAAGAGGUACAUCACUCAUUGGGUUGGGUUAAAGUGUUUACCACGGUUGAUGGCUACGGAUUGUUUGCCGUUACAAAGAGUUACGCUGCCUUAACUUACUACUCUAACCAUAUCAACAUUCACCACUUGGAUGCUUCAACCUCAAAAAUGAUUGUGGAUUUCAGAGAACGUUUUAGUAGUGUAAUACCUCACAAGAACACCUUUGUUUCAUUGAAAGAAUUAGGGGAAGAAGAUACAAAGAUAAUGUAAUCAGUUAAAAAUGAGGAGACGGAAGAAAGCCGUGAUCAGCUUUUCAAACAUAUGUAGGAGGAUGAGACCCUAGGACCUGCUUAUAAACUGGAUCUGAAGGGACAAAUACUACAGCUCCAAUCUAGGAGGAGUUACGGAGUUUGGAUCUGAUUCCUAGGGUGCAAUUCUUUCUUUGGAGAUCAAACAUCUAUUGAUUCUUCCAACUAGGGAAGUUUUAUCCUCAACAAUUAGCAUUGAUUGCUCUUCUCACCUUAUCAUAAUUUGCUCCAUUCUGUAAAGCAGUUCUGUUUGCUUCAACUGGUAUGGUAUUCACCAAAUCUGGUUUUUCAAACUUGAAAAUAUUUCCUUUUUGUA